UGACUGGUACCGAAGGAUACUGACCUUU
rnacentral:piRNA from 1 species